rnacentral:snoRNA from 1 species
AUUCCAUGGUGAGGGCCUUUCCGUAAUAGUUCUUUGUAUCAUUCCCAUGCCCCAGAUAAGGACUCAUCAUCCAUUUGCUGGAAGGUAGUGAUCUCGUUCCUCAACUU